rnacentral:rRNA from 1 species
UACGGGGGGGGCAAGCGUUGUUCGGAAUUACUGGGCGUAAAGGGCGCGUAGGCGGUUCGCUAAGUUGGAUGUGAAAACUCUGGGCUCAACCCAGAGCCUGCAUCCAAAACUGGCGGGCUAGAGUUCUGGAGGGGGUAGCGGAAUUCCAGGUGUAGCGGUGAAAUGCGUAGAUAUCAGGAGGAACACCGGUGGCGAAGGCGGCUACCUGGACAGAAACUGACGCUGAGGCGCGAAAGCUAGGGGAGCAAACAGG